rnacentral:lncRNA from 1 species
AUCAUCUGGGCAUGUAUGGUAUCUGUAUCUACGUCAAGACCUGGGCUUUGCUCCACUUGGAGUCAGCUGAUUGACAGGAGGGCAUCUGAAAUUGAGAGGAGAUUUCAGGACGUUUACCCAGCCCUUUAGUGGGGAUCUGUCCGGGACUGUGCAGUCUGAACCUGCAACUGUAAAAGUGCUGUUUGGACUGUGGACAAGUUAGGUUAUAAAUUUUGACCUCUGAAUGGACGCAACCAAUAUUAGCCUUUAAUGCAGUUAGACUCAUUUUGUCAGAGGUCUGGAAAAUUAGGAAAAACUACCAUAUGUCCAAGCCUUCAUGCUUUUCGAAAAUCAGGAUUCAUACCAUGAGGGAAGAUGCCAGCUGCUAGCUAUACCAAAGGACAGAAUGGAAAAAAGGCUCUUCACAAGCCAGAGAGCCAAACUCAGGCAGAAAGCAAUGAAGAAGAAUUAGGACUUUUAAAUGUCCUACACCCAAGCUGUUUUAGCAGCUCCAACCACCACAGCCAGAACGCACCUGGCCUCUGCUCCACCUCAACAGCUCCCACUGCAGUACCACCAUACGGGGCCCUUAGCACUGGCCUCUGCGUUGGACCGGAUUGCCUUGAUGCUACCAAGUGAGGCAUCAGACCAAUAAGAGGGAGCUACUCUGCCGCCUCAGUAUAAUGAGAGAACAGAGACGGCCUCUCCCUCCAGUGCUUGACAGGGAACAUGAUUUAGCAAGGAAUUGCCAUGGCCGGAGCAAAGGAAUUACCGUUUACAGGGAUGGCCAUGGGUGGCUUGGAUGAGAGUGGGCAACCUGUCAGACAUUACUGGACAUCCAGCCCAUUUUCAACAUCUAACUUGUGAAAUGGAAAAACUCCACCCCACUUUAUACAAUGGAUCCCCAGAAAAUGACUGAUCUCUAUGUGUCUAUCUGUGCUACCCACCAGCGUACCUGAGCAGAUGUGUAGUCUCUCCUAAAUAUGUUUCUGACUGCAGACCAAAGAAGGUCCAGAGUCUUGGUGCCUCCAUGAAACAAAUCCAAAUACCCCAAACCUGAAGGGACCAUUCUGGAUGCAAACCCUAAUUGGGGCUCCAAUUGAUAAGGGGACAUGGCCCAUCUGGAAUAUUCACAAACAUUCUUCCUGUUUGGACUCAGGAAAGGGGUACCAAAACAGGAAGCCUCACUAGGAAUGACCCCUUCCCCGCUCCAGAGACAAAGAAACAGAAGUUUCAACCAUAAACGUGGAAUGAACAAGGAAGCCUCUGCAUCAGAAAAAUCGAGGCAAGCCUCUGGAACACAGCCAGUGUGCCUAGUGUAAGGAGAAAGGCCACUGAAAGGAUGACUGUCCCAAAAGAAAGGACCAAGGGGCCAGAAAAAGGAGGAAUAUGAUGAGGAAAAAGCUCAAAGUCAAAUCAUGGAGCAGGGUCACUGCUCUGACCACAGAGAGUGAUGCCUGGGGACUCUCCUUAAUCACUCAGAGACAAUUAAAAUUUCCCCACAGGAACCCUGGGUACAACUGACAGUGAGGAAAAAGUUAAUUGAUUUCCUGGUUGAUACUGGGCAAACUAUUCAGUUUUAACACUUUAUGAGCAAAAAGCACCAAAAUGAUUGUACCUGUGAUAGGAGUUGCAAGAAUAAUGCAACAAAAGGCUUUCCUACAACCUUUAGAAUGCAAACUAGAAAGUUUGGACCUAAGGCACUGCUAUUUCUAUAUGUAAGAAUGCCCAAUUCCCUUGCUGGGAAAAGACCCAUUAUGCAAAUUAAAUACUCAAGUAAUUUAUCCCCAGAGAAACAACUAUGGCUGCAGGUCCUGCUAAAGCAAGCACUGCAACUAAGAUGUUACUCACUUGCCUUAAGAAGAAACAAGAAUUCUCCCUCAGAAGUCUAUGAGAGAGUGCGUAAUUGUGAAUAGGCAGAAGGAAUCCCAGGAAAAACAAGAAAUAUACAGUGAGUGCAUAUAGAAAAAAUAGAAGGGGCUACUGUGACCUGGGCGGCGGGGAGGAGGCGAAUAAAAAAAUCAGUAUACAUUAAGAAAGGAAGCCUUAGAAGGAAUACAGCCUGUCUUUCAAAAAUUUGAGAAGUGGACUGAUUCAUCCUUGCAGAUCCCCAUAUAAUAGCCCUAUCGUGCCUGUAAGGAAGCUACACUUCUACAAAUAUCAAUUUGCCCAAGACCUGAGAACCGUUAAUAAAAUAGUCUUGGAUAUUCACCCAGUGGUGCCUAACCCAGAUACUCUACUGACUGCUAUAUAUAGACAUUAUGAAUGCUUUUCAGUGCUAGAUCUGAAAGAUGUUUUCUUCUGCAUUCCAAUUGAAGAAAAGACCCAACAAUUAUCAUUAUUAUUUUUAAUGACAGGACCGAGAGACUAAAACAACCUUUCAAUACUGUUAGACAGUGGGGUCUCAAUGUGUUAAAAAAUGCACCAACAAUUUUUGGGGAAAUACUGGCAAAAGACUUAGGAGACCUACAACAAGAUUAAGAAGCCUGGCUACAACACAUAGAUAAUUAAUAGCCAGCCACAACUAUAGGAAAUGCUUAGCUGAUGUCAUUUUAGUUCUAAAUCACCUGGUACAAUAUGGAUACAAAGUAUUCCCAAGAAGCCCCAAAUAUGUAAGUAGAAAGUAACCUGUCUUGGCUUUAGGUUAAAGCAAGGCCAAAGGAGCCUGGUCUGGUAAAAAAAAAAAACAAAAAACAGGCAAUAGCAGCCAUAAAGCUCCAGAGAAUGGGGGCAACCAUGGGGAUUCUUAGAAAGGGUUAGCUUCUGCCAGAUUUGAUUCCUAAGUUUGGACUAAUGACUAAAACACUUUAUGAAUCCUUAAAGGAUUCACUAGACUCAGAGGCCCUUCUCUGGACAUCUAAAGGUCAACAAACAUUUUAUACCAUCAAAGAAAAGCUGAUAUCACCCCCUGCACUGGGAUACCAAAUUCCCAAAAGCUGUUCAAACUCUAUAUCCAAGAGAAACAAAGCAUAGGUGUGGGUUGUGCUAAUGCAAAUGCUGGGAGAUGCCCCACAAUCCAUGGCCUAUUUCUCUAAACAAUUACACCAAAGAUUAAGGGAUGGCUCCCCUUCCUCUGGGCAAGAGCACCCACUGUGAAGUCCUACAGGAAGUAGAACAAUUUACUCUGGGACAGCCAGUUACCUUGUUUGUACCCCAUCAGGUGCUGACUCUGCUAGAACAAACGGGAGGCUACUGGCUCACUGUGGGGUGAGUGGGCAGAUACCAGGCCAUCCUCUUAUAUGAUCCAAAUAUCACCCUACAAACCACCAUGGCUCUAAACCCUGCCACACUGCUCUCAGCCACUGAACACAAUCCUGGGUUAAAGCAUGACUGUAAAUCCUUGAUGCAGCUUAUUCAAGCAUGCUGAACCUGUCAAACUAGACAAUGAGUGCUCUGGACUUGAACUACACUGAUGGGAGCAGCUUAAUGAAAGAUGUGCACAGAGCCGGAUGUGCCACUGUGACUACCAAAAGGGUAAUAGUAGUCCAUACCCUUCCUGCAGCUACCUCCGCACAAAGAGCUGAGUUAAUUGCUCUUACCUGAGUCUUUAGAACUGUCCCAGGAAAUGGGAGUAAAGAUUUAUUCUGAUUCCAUAUAUGCAUUCCUGGAAAUGCACGCCAAUUGGGUGAUCUGGAAACAUAGAGGAGGUUGCUUGAAAUCAGAAAAUACAGACAUUAAACACCCAAGAGAAAUUCUGGACCUAGUAAAGGCAAUUGCCUUGCCUGCCCAGGCUUCCAUCAUGCACUUCCCCAACACCAGAGACAUAAUUCACAACCGAAGGUAACCAGGCAGCUGGCAAAGCUGCAAAAUGAGCUGCUUGGGAGGCACAGGUCCUGGGACAUGAAUACUCCAUUUGGAAUUACUAGAUUUUAAACCUCAUUACACUGAACAAGAUCCCAAACGUGCCCAAGCCAGGGGUUUGAGAAAAGAGAUUCCAAUUCCCCUAGAAAACUGACACCUAUAAGAUAACGCCUACAGGAUGAUGAAACCCCAAGGCCUUGGUUUAUCCAAUCUCAAAACAUCUACAUAAAGGAAUGCACUAUGGGAGUGAUGUCCUCGCCAACCUAGUACAACCACACCUCAGUAGACCACACUUUCAAAACAUCACUCGGAAAAUUACACAGGGAUGCAUCUUGUGCACUACAAACAAACAAUCCCAAGAUGGAAUGUAGUCCUCCUAAAAAGGAGAUAUAGUACAAAGAGCUGAGUCCCUUCAAAGACUGAAAGGCGGGCUUCACUCAGAUGCCUACCUGGUUAUGUGCGCCAAGGAAAGAUCUGAAGUUAUUAAUAAAAGAAAAAGAAGGAGAUAUAAGC